rnacentral:rRNA from 1 species
AACGAACGCUGGCGGCAUGCCUAACACAUGCAGGUCGAACGAGACCUUCGGGUCUAGUGGCGCACGGGUGCGUAACGCGUGGGAACCUGCCCUUAGGUUCGGAAUAACUCCCCGAAAGGGGUGCUAAUACCGGAUAAUGUCUUCGGACCAAAGAUUUAUCGCCUUUGGAUGGGCCCGCGUUGGAUUAGCUAGUUGGUAGGGUAAAAGCCUACCAAGGCGACGAUCCAUAGCUGGUCUGAGAGGAUGAUCAGCCACACUGGGACUGAGACACGGCCCAGACUCCUACGGGAGGCAGCAGUGGGGAAUAUUGGACAAUGGGCGAAAGCCUGAUCCAGCAAUGCCGCGUGAGUGAUGAAGGCCUUAGGGUUGUAAAGCUCUUUUACCCGGGAUGAUAAUGACAGUACCGGGAGAAUAAACUCCGACUAACUCCGU